GACGAACGCCGGCGGCGUGCCUAAUACAUGCAAGUCGAGCGAAGUUUUUUGGUGCUUGCACUAGAAAAACUUAGCGGCGAACGGGUGAGUAACACGUAAAGAACCUGCCUCAUAGACUGGGACAACUAUUGGAAACGAUAGUUAAUACCGGAUAACAGCAUUAACUGCAUGGUUGAUGUUUAAAAGUUGGUUUUGCUAACACUAUGAGAUGGCUUGCGGUGCAUAAGCUAGUUGGUGGGGUAAAGGCCUACCAAGGCGACGAUGCAUAGCCGACCUGAGAGGGUGAUCGGCCACACUGGGACUGAGACACGGCCCAGACUCCUACGGGAGGCAGCAGUAGGGAAUCUUCCGCAAUGGGCGAAAGCCUGACGGAGCAACGCCGCGUGAGUGAAGAAGGAUUUCGGUUCGUAAAGCUCUGUUGUUAGGGAAGAAUUGACUUGU
rnacentral:rRNA from 1 species